AUGGCGACCGGCGCUGGCGGAGGUCAGCCGAGCGUUCUGAGCACAUUGCCGAAGAAUCUGCCGUUAGACUUUCUGAAAACCAUCACCGACCAGUUCUCAGACGAGCGUAAAAUCGGUACAGGCGCAUUUGGAACUGUUUAUAUGGGAUUAAUGCCGGAUGGGCAAAUAAUUACCGUGAAGAAACUCGCUGAAAAUUCACCAAUUGCGCGUGAGAAAGCAUUUGCUAACGAGGUUCAGAAUAUUAUGGCUCUCCACCAUGAAAAUGUAGUAAAAUUGGUGGGCUACUGCCAUGAAGGUCAAAAGAAAGUGGUGCUGAACAAUGGAAGAUAUAUCGUGGCUGACAUUGUUGAAAGUUUACUUUGCCACGAGUACGUACCAAGGGGAAGCCUUCAGAAGAAUCUUUUUGAACUACAUACAAAAAUGGACUGGAACAUACGCUUCAACAUAAUUAAGGGGAUUUGCAACGGUUUGCACUUUGUACACAGCAUUCCUAUUGUCCAUAUGGAUCUCAAGCCGGAAAACAUACUGUUGGAUGAUAACAUGGUGCCGAAAAUCGCCGAUUUCGGUCUCUCCAGACUCUUUGGUCAAGAACAAACACGGAUGAACACACAGAAUGUUGUUGGGUCAUAUGGAUACAUAGCUCCGGAAUAUCUAUACAGAGGUGAAAUCUCCACCAAGUCAGACAUAUACAGUUUAGGCCUACUAAUCAUGGAGACUACCACGGGAGAGAAGAAUUGUCCAGGCAAAGAACCUUCUGCAGUGCAAUUCAUAAAAAAUGUACGUGAAAAUUGGAAAGAGCAGCGCAUCGCAUCUGAGUACCCAUUGUUAGAUGUGGAUGGCCUCCAACAAGUAAAAAAAUGCAUUGAAAUAGGACUGGAAUGUGUUGAGAUUGAUCGGCUGAAGAGACCAUCCAUAGAAACAAUUCUCGACAAGCUAAACGGACGAUGUGCAUCCAUAAGAAACUAA
rnacentral:rRNA from 1 species